UUUCUAGGUGGGCUUAAACAAGAAUGUUAAAAAGUAGGGUCAAAAGAAUGAUGGGCUUCGUACCAAUAUUAAAAGAAUGACGUAUUUGGUCCCUAUCUCUUCAGACACAGCUCUGAAACACGGGGCGACUCUUUUUGUGUUUCCAUCAAAAAGUUAACCCCUACGAAAUCCUCUUAUAUAAAGUUUUAUCUUAACCGGAGAAACAUUCCAGCUCAAAUACUCAACGAUUCCUCUACCAGGCGCAGCUUAUAACAUCUAUCGAAAAUGUCUGCCUGUGAUGCUCACCUUUCGACUUUCUCCCGCCUUGGUCGUACAAAAAAUUAUGAAUUCAUGGGAAUCAUGUUUCUCUUCCUUGAUGAAAAGGCAAAGCCAUCUCUGAUCUAUCAUGACUUAUCUAUUACAACUGUCUUUAAUCGAUAAGAUUGUUAGGAUUGAAUUAUCAGAUCUGUCUCAAUCUGCAGGAUUGAAUUGUCGCCUCAUCCGUUUCCUUCAAAAAAGAGAUAGAUAUAUACUGUUUUGGAAAGGAAAGAGAUGGGUUCUAUAAUCAGUGAAAACAGAAUGAACGAAGCAGAGAUGGAGGUGGUGAUGAACAAAACCAAAGAGAUCGUCUCCGAGUAACCAGUCGCUGUCUUCAGUCAGAGGGUGAAACAGCUGUUGUCACGCUUUAAAGUGCUUGAGCUCGAUGAGAUGAGUUAGAAACUAAAAUAUCUGUCAUUAAACCUGGAUUAUAUCGUCCCAUGCUAAUUUUACAAUUUUGGCAGGUGAUGGAGGUGAGAUACAAUCAGCUUAUCUGAGUGGACAGGGCAGAGCACUGUUCCAAAUGUGUUCAUCAAAGGAAAACAUAUCGGUGGAUGUGAUAGUAAGAAAAAAAAAACUAUACGAACUCUCUGAACAUUUUAUGGAGAUAGACAGGUCGCUGGAAGAGCUAACUGAAUCUUUGGGUGUUUGUUUGCUUUUGUAUCAAGGAAAGCGAGCAUGUGUUAGUAUAACUUUUAACACAUAUUGUAUGUUAUACUUGACUUAUUAUUUCUAUUAAGUUUUCGGAGAAGACCAGUUUUGUUGAGAUUGCAGAGAGCAUGACCCUAUCCCUAUUUGUAGUUACAACAUGGUCAACUCUAGGACUAGACAAACAAGAGCAAAGGUGACUCCUUCUUGGUAUGUUCUUUGAAUCAUUGCCGCUUCAGGCCUUCAGACCUUGACAUUUUGUCUUUCAAGGUUCCGUGUUGAGAAACUUUUGUUGUCUUCAACAAUGAGAUUACAAACUAAUUAAGGAAAAUGCAUAUGACCUUUCUCUACCAGAGAUUCCUAGAAGUGCCAAAAUCUGACCCGAAGCAAACAAAAAAAACACGACAGGUUUAUACCAGUUAAACCUAUCAUCAUAGUCCCGAUUCUCCCUCUUCCUUCCGUUCAACCAUUCCUCUUCUCGCUGUACAUCUGUUAUGACUAUGGAGGUUCUUUUUUUUUUUUGUUAUGACUGAAGGUUCUAAUGCUGUUAAUCACCACCAUCAUCCACAUGAGCAGUUAAUGCAAACAAUUUAUAAUUUUCUCAAAAGCUACAAAUCGUCAACAAAAUCAGAGUAAAAGAGAAAUGACAUUUUGAUAGUACUAAGAGAAAAAUACAAAAGAAUAGACUUUAAGGGUAUCUCCAACCCAAUUUCAGUUUUUACUUUAAAAUGAACUAAAAGUGGAUAUGAAGUAAGAAAUGUUUCAAGCCAACUCGAGUUGGAACGUUUUUAUUCUAUAUCUACUUUUACUCCAUUUUAGAAGAAAAAUAGAGUUUUAUAAGAGCAUCUUCAUUUUCACUCUAUAAUUUACUGUAAAAUAGAGUAGGAAAUAGAGUAGUGAAAAACAAAAAAGUAAUUAAUACAUAAAUGAAGAAAUUUUUUAUUUUUUUGUUCAUACUCUAUUUCCUAUUCUAGUUUUGCAAUAAAUUAUGAAGUGGGAAUGGAGGUGUCCUGAGGUAUCAGAGAUUUGAUGUUGAAAAUCAGAGUAAAAGAAAAAAUGACAUUUUGAUCAAAUAAAAAGAGAGACAGAAAUGACAUUCAAUGAACUAUACGAUUUGUGUUGAAAAGAAAAAAAAAAUGAACUCCACGAUUAAAACGAAAAUUAGCAACCCAAAAGAAAGAGAUGAGAGAGCGAUUGUUCUUUAUGAGCAAUAACAAAUCUAAUAAAUAAUGAAGAAGUAGCAGAAGACCCAUAUGGUAAGAAUAUGUUUGACGUAUAUGGAAACCUAUAUGCUAAUGAUACUUUCACUCUUAGA